UACGUAGGGGGCGAGCGUUGUCCGGAGUUACUGGGCGUAAAGCGCACGCAGGCGGUCCAUCGCGUUGAGGGUGACAGCUCUGGGCUAAACCGAGAGAGUGCCUUCAAAACGGAUGGACUUGAGGCAUCGAGAGGGAUACGGAAUUCCGGGUGGAGUGGUGAAAUGCGUAGAGAUCCGGAAGAACACCAAAGGCGAAGGCAGUAUCCUGGCGAUGUCCUGACGCUCAGGUGCGAAAGCUAGGGGAG
rnacentral:rRNA from 1 species